GGGGUUCCACGAGUGUUUUUAUGGCACUCUUUAAAAUCCAUAUCCACCUUGUGUGCAAUGUUUGUUGGGAAAGUCUUUUUCUUUCCCUUCAUAAAUAUCAACCUAUAUCUUUAACAACAUUCGUCUGAUAACAUAUUAUGAAUAUACUUAAUUCAAAAUAUAACUUUCAACAACGGAUCUCUUGGCUCUCGCAUCGAUGAAGAACGCAGCGAAAUGCGAUACGUAAUGUGAAUUGCAGAAUUCAGUGAAUCAUCGAAUCUUUGAACGCAUAUUGCGCUCUUUGGUAUUCCGAAGAGCAUGCUUGUUUGAGUAUCAGUAAACACCUCAACCUCUCUUUUUUGAUAAAAAAAAAAGGGAGGGUGGACUUGAGCUAUCCCAACGACCUUCACCGGUAGGCGGGCGGCUUGAAAUGCAGGUGCAGCUGGACUUUUAUCUGAGCUAAAAGCAUAUCUAUUUAGUCCUCGUCAAACAGGAUUAUUACUUUUGCUGCAGCUAACAUAAAGGAUAAUUGUCCUCUUUGCUGACUGAUGCAGGAUUUUACGACACUUUAUGUGUUGUUCAACUCGAUCUCAAAUCAAGUAAGACUACCCGCUGAACUUAAGCAUAUCAAUAAGCGGGAGGAA
rnacentral:rRNA from 1 species